GGAAGAGCUCUUUGCGGAGGAGGUAUUGUUUCCUUAAUGAAAUUCUAUGAUUGAUCUAGCAUUUUAUUGUAAAACCGAUUUUCUAAGUGCAAACCAUGUUACAAAAUUGCAAUAGGAAAUUCAAAUUGCCAAUGGACGCAAAUAACAAAAUUUUUCCUGAUAAUUUGCCUGUCAAUUCUUACAUAAAUGCUAAGUUCAACUCAGCCUUUUCAAAUGUUGUUAAAGUACAUGGAUCUACUUUAAUUCUUCUUUUGUUUAGGGUCAAAAUUUAAUCAAGAUCUAGUGAUGCUAAAUCCUUUUAUGACCUUUUAAAUCCAUCUCAUCCUUGAUUCAUGACUUUAUC
rnacentral:misc_RNA from 1 species